UAGGAAGUGCUGGAGCUGCUGCAGGUCCUUCUGAGCUCUGCUUAAGGAGCCAUACUGCUCAGGCAGAAGCCACUUCUUUCCUCUCUGCUACAAAUCUGGCUGCUGCCUGUCUGUCUGUCCCUUUCCAGUGUAGCCAUUUCCCAGCUUGGUGGCCAUGGCCUUCCCUCUCAACAUGCCCACCGCUCUCUGUGCCCCUGUAUUCGAAAGUGAUCGUGGGCUGCCUGUGCCCUGGUCAUUGAUACUGCAGGGAGAGGAUGCCGAAAGCCUUUCCCCGUGUUUGGAGGAUCCACACCUGUCCUUGCCAAACCCUGGUGCUUUCCCACACCACGUCCUGCCUGUUAGGUGCCCCAUGCUGCCUGGCGUCCUGGCACUUCUGCCUCGGCAGGGCAUGGAGCUCAGACCGUGCUCUCUUCCUUCAGAAGCUUUCUCAGCCUCCACACCCAUUGUCACCUCCUAGGACACUUGAGACCUGGUAGGAAGUGUUACCUUGCUUGAGCCCUAGCAUGCAUGCUGCUGUGUUCUGUCAGCCGAGAGUUGGGGUUCUGAUUGGAACACAUGAAAGACUAAGGGCAGGUACUCGCUGUGAGGCACUGUUGCCUGUAAACUGAGUAAGCAGCCUCUACAGACAGCUUCAGGAGGAGGCAGAUCUGCUCUUCUCCCUCCUUGAGAAUCCUUCCCUUGUGGCCUACUUUAGAUCACUGCCUUGGGUAGCCACUUGGGAAGGGUUUUCCUCUCCGCCCCGUGGGAACAGGCAAGAACGAGAAGUGGACAACACUGAAUGAUGACGUGUCUGUGCUACCCUUCCUGCCAGGCCCGUGUCCAGAGUGCCGUAGCCCUGGUGUGCUCUUGAGCAGCCCACACAGCAGAGCAUGGUCAGGCUUGUCUCCAAAGAGCUCCAGUCUCUCCCCCAGAUUGUCAGCUGAUCCUUGCUGUGUCUGUCAGUGGUCCUGUGUCUCGAGAAGCAGCUGGAACAGGAUCCUUGCCAGGUGUGGACACCAGAGGGCCAGGAAGUAGACAGCAAGACUACCACUUGAAGUGAAACUAGAGGCUGCCCAUUUGGAGCAUCAUGAAACAUCUUUUUGUUAUGUUUAGUAAUUGGCUCAGGCAUGGGAGACUCCAGCAUACAAGGUCUUAACAGCAACACCUCAAAGGACUGUGUCCUGUCCCCAUGUCCAUCUGCCAGUGCCUGGAAGGAUUAGUGACGAGAGCUUUUCCGUUGAACUUGUUGCCAACUUUGCUGCUACCUCCCCAACUGUGCAAUAAAUAAACCUGAUAGAUGAAUUCA